rfam:Hymenolepis nana genome assembly, scaffold: HNAJ_scaffold0001365
GGUGCGCGAUAGACUUACCUUUACGUGGUGUGCCCUGGGCAACGUAUUCUCAUACGGCUAAAAGGUCAAU